rnacentral:rRNA from 1 species
GAUGAACGCUGGCGGCGUGCCUAAUACAUGCCAGUCGAGCGAACAGACGAGGAGCUUGCUCCUCUGACGUUAGCGGCGGACGGGUGAGUAACACGUGGAUAACCUACCUAUAAGACUUGGAUAACUUCGGGAAACCGGAGCUAAUACCGGAUAAUAUAUUUAACCGCAUGGUUCAAUAGUGAAAGACGGUUUUGCUGUCACUUAUAGAUGGAUCCGCGCCUCAUUAGCUAGUUGGUAAGGUAACGGCUUACCAAGGCAACGAUGCGUAGCCGACCUGAGAGGGUGAUCGGCCACACUGGAACUGAGACACGGUACAGACUCCUACGGGAGGCAGCAGUAGGGAAUCUUCCGCAAUGGGCGAAAGCCUGACGGAGCAACGCCGCGUGAGUGAUGAAGGUCUUCGGAUCGUAAAACUCUGUUAUUAGGGAAGAACAAAUGUGUAAGUAACUAUGCACGUCUUGACGGUACCUAAUCAGAAAGCCACGGCUAACUACGUG